GUCUACGGCCAUUCCACCCUGAACGUGCUGGAUCUCCUCUGAUCUCAGAAGCUAAUCAGGGUCGGGUCUGGCUAGAACUUGGAAGGGAGAAAUGGUUCUGAGUGCAGCAGAUU
ensembl:rRNA 5S_rRNA 5S ribosomal RNA